GAUGAAGAACGUAGCGAAAUGCGAUACGUAAUGUGAAUUGCAGAAUUCAGUGAAUCAUCGAAUCUUUGAACGCAUAUUGCGCUCUCUGGUAUUCCGGAGAGCAUGCUUGUUUGAGUAUCAGUAAACACCUCAACUCCCCUUUCUUUUUUUGAAAUGGGAGCUGGACUUGAGUGAUCCCAACGCUUUUCUCACCGAAAAGUGGCGGGUUACUUGAAAUGCAGGUGCAGCUGGACUUUUCUCUGAGCUAAAAGCAUAUCUAUUUAGUCUGCCUAAAAAACAGAUUAUUACCUUUGUUGCAGCUAACAUAAAGGAGAUUAGUUCUUGUGCUGACUGAUGCAGGAUUCACAGAGACAGCUUCGGCUGGCCUUUGUAAACUCGAUCUCAAAUCAAGUAAGACUACCCGCUGAACUUAAGCAUAUCAAUAAGCGGAGGA
rnacentral:misc_RNA from 1 species